rnacentral:rRNA from 1 species
GUGGCGAACGGGUGAGUAAUGUAUCGGAACGUACCUUUCAGUGGGGGAUAACGUAGCGAAAGUUACGCUAAUACCGCAUAUUCUGUGAGCAGGAAAGCAGGGGAUCGCAAGACCUUGCGCUGAUUGAGCGGCCGAUAUCAGAUUAGCUAGUUGGUGGGGUAACGGCCUACCAAGGCUACGAUCUGUAGCGGGUCUGAGAGGAUGAUCCGCCACACUGGGACUGAGACACGGCCCAGACUCCUACGGGAGGCAGCAGUGGGGAAUUUUGGACAAUGGGGGCAACCCUGAUCCAGCCAUGCCGCGUGAGUGAAGAAGGCCUUCGGGUUGUAAAGCUCUUUCGGCCGGGAAGAAAUCGCAUCAGCUAAUACCUGGUGUGGAUGACGGUACCGGAAUAAGAAGCACCGGCUAACUACGUGCCAGCAGCCGCGGUAAUACGUAGGGUGCGAGCGUUAAUCGGAAUUACUGGGCGUAAAGCGUGCGCAGGCGGUUUUUUAAGAUAGGCGUGAAAUCCCCGGGCUUAACCUGGGAACUGCGCUUAUGACUGGAAGACUAGAGUACGGCAGAGGGGGGUGGAAUUCCACGUGUAGCAGUGAAAUGCGUAGAGAUGUGGAGGAACACCGAUGGCGAAGGCAGCCCCCUGGGCCGAUACUGACGCU